UACGUAGGGUGCAAGCGUUAAUCGGAAUUACUGGGCGUAAGGCGUGCGCAGGCGGUUGUGCAAGACCGAUGUGAAAUCCCCGGGCUUAACCUGGGAAUGGCAUUGGUGACUGCACGGCUAGAGUGUGUCAGAGGGGGGUAGAAUUCCACGUGUAGCAGUGAAAUGCGUAGAGAUGUGGAGGAAUACCGAUGGCGAAGGCAGCCCCCUGGGAUAACACU
rnacentral:rRNA from 1 species